rnacentral:snoRNA from 1 species
CUCCUGCUGUGGCCCUGGGGGGGGGCCUGAUGAUUGGGUCCUCAUGCUAUUGUGGGAGAUGGACCUCUCUGGAGCCUGGUUGUGACUUUGGCCCAUUGCCCCUCUGGUG